CCAAUGUUGGUUGAAAGAGAAGUCCAUUUUCUAACAAACGACAAGUUUUGUUCAGCAGUCAUCACACUAUUGUAUGGAUGCUGCUUUUACUAUCUGUACAGUAUUUGCUGCCAGGUUAAACAAAUCAUUAUCCAAUCUUGAUCUAAUCACCAUCUGUCCUCCCUCUGUCCAGGUCACUACCAUGACAUGGUGUGUGAGUCACGCGUUCAUCUCAACAAUCCAGGCAAACGCUGCUGUCGAAAAGAGACCUUGUACCCUCAGUAUGAAAUCUGCUGAAGCGGACACAAGGCGUCUACCGCUGUAGCCAAGGGUCUGCUCCCAGCCAAGGGUCUGCUCCCAGCCAAGGGUCUGCUCCCAGCCAAGGGUCUGCUCCCAGCCAAGGGUCUGCUCCCAGCCAAGGGUCUCCUCCCAUUCUGUACUUCACUUCCCUUUUUCCAGUCAGAGGCAUUCAGACAGUUAGACUACCAGAGAUUCCUAAGAGAGGUGGUGUGUCUGCUUCGGGAUCUCUAGGAGGAGGCCAGACACCUGUUUGGGGACCCAUUGUCCCCUGGCUGGGCACCAGUGCUCCCCAGGUGGCCACUUGUAUCUGCCAUCCCGUGACAUGGUGUGUGAGUCACGCGUUCAUCUCAACAAUCCAGGCAAACGCUGCUGUGGAAAAGAGACCUUGUACCCUCAGUAUGAAAUCUGCUGAAGCGGACACAAGUGAGUUGCUCUGUAGGGUGGAAACUGUAGGUAGAUGAACCUAGCCAGGCAGUUUAUCCCAAAGACGUGAGGUUAUCACUGUCUGCCAUCAGAGUUCAGAGUGCCUA
rnacentral:lncRNA from 1 species